AUGCUCCUGCUGCUUAUCCCAGCGCUUGAGAUGGUUUUUGCCCUGAGAGGAACGGGAGCCCAGUUGGUGACCCAGCCUGACGGCCGCAUCACUCUCUCUGAAGGAGCCCCUCUGGAGCUGAGGUGCAACUACUCAUCUUCUCUUUCAACCUAUCUCUUCUGGUACGUGCAGUACCCCAACCAAGGGCUCCAGCUUCUCCUGAAGUACACAUCUGGAAACAACCUUGUCUCAGGCAUCAAAGGUUUUGAGGCUGAAUUUAGGAGGAGUGAAACCUCCUUCCACCUGAGGAAACCCUCAGCCCAUUGGAGUGACUCGGCUGAAUACUUCUGUGCUCUGAGUGACACAGUGCCUGAGUCUGCAAGGGGAACUGAACACAAACUUCCUGAGACCUUGGGACUUUUUGUGACUCAAGAACUCAAUCAGUUUAACGAACUAUUCUCCUCUGUCUGCAAGACAAUCCCUGAUCCAGAAUUGGUGUUACAGGAGGAACAAGAGCCCAGACAGUGA